rfam:Rhodobacterales bacterium 65-51 scnpilot_p_inoc_scaffold_97, whole genome shotgun sequence.
GGGGCAGUAGCUCAGUUGGGAGAGCGCGUCGUUCGCAAUGACGAGGUCAGGGGUUCGAUCCCCCUCUGCUCCA